AGCGAACGCUGGCGGCAGGCUUAACACAUGCAAGUCGAACGGACCCUCCGGGGUUAGUGGCGGACGGGUGAGUAACACGUGGGAACGAGCCCUUAGGUUCGGAAUAGCUCCUGGAAACGGGAGGUAAUGCCGAAUGUGCCCAUCGGGGGAAAGAUCUAUUGCUUUUAGAUCGGCCCGCGUCUGAUUAGCUGGUUGGUGAGGUAAUCGCACGCCAAGGCGUCGAUCAGUAGCUGGUCUGAGACGAUGACCAUCCACGCUGGGACUGAGGCACGGCCCAGUCUCCGACGGAGGGGAGCAGUAGGGAGUCUUGCGGGAGGGGCGAAAGCCUAACGCAGCCAUGCCGCGGGAAUGAGGAAGGGCUUAGGAUUGUAAAAUUCUUUCUCCGGAGACGAGAGUGACGGUACCCGGUGAAGAAGCCCCGGCUAACUUCGUG
rnacentral:rRNA from 1 species